GUGGGGAAUCUUGCGCAAUGGGCGAAAGCCUGACGCAGCAACGCCGCGUGGGGGAUGAAGGCUCUCGGGUUGUAAACCCCUUUCAGCAGGGACGAAUCAAGACGGUACCUGCAGAAGAAGCCCCGGCUAACUACGUGCCAGCAGCCGCGGUAACACGUAGGGGGCAAGCGUUGUCCGGAUUUAUUGGGCGUAAAGAGCUCGUAGGUGGCUGAGUAAGUCGGAUGUCAAAUCCCCAGGCUCAACCUGGGAUCCCAUCCGAUACUGCUCGGGCUAGAGUCCGGUAGGAGAGCGUGGAAUUCCUGGUGUAGCGGUGAAAUGCGCAGAUAUCAGGAGGAACACCAGCGGCGAAGGCGGCGCUCUGGGCCGGUACUGACACUGAGGAGCGAAAGCGUGGGUAGCAAACAGGAUUAGAAACCCUAGUAGUCC
rnacentral:rRNA from 1 species